UACGUAGGGUGCAAGCGUUGUCCGGAAUUAUUGGGCGUAAAGAGCUCGUAGGUGGCCUGUCGCGUCGGCUGUGAAAACCCGGGGCUCAACCCCGGGCCUGCAGUCGAUACGGGCAGACUAGAGUGCGGUAGGGGAGACUGGAAUUCCUGGUGUAGCGGUGAAAUGCGCAGAUAUCAGGAGGAACACCGGUGGCGAAGGCGAGUCUCUGGACAUUUCCUGACGCUGAGGCACGAAAGCCAGGGGAGCAAACGGG
rnacentral:rRNA from 1 species